rnacentral:rRNA from 3 species
ACGGAAGGCAGCAGUGGGGAAUAUUGCACAAUGGGGGAAACCCUGAUGCAGCGACGCCGCGUGAGUGAAGAAGUAUUUCGGUAUGUAAAGCUCUAUCAGCAGGAAAGAAAAUGACGGUACCUGACUAAGAAGCCCCGGCUAACUACGUGCCAGCAGCCGCGGUAAUACGUAGGGGGCAAGCGUUAUCCGGAUUUACUGGGUGUAAAGGGAGCGUAGACGGCUUUGCAAGUCUGAAGUGAAAGCCCGGGGCUCAACCCCGGAACUGCUUUGGAAACUGUAGAGCUAGAGUACAGGAGAGGUAAGUGGAAUUCCUAGUGUAGCGGUGAAAUGCGUAGAUAUUAGGAGGAACACCAGUGGCGAAGGCGGCUUACUGGACUGUAACUGACGUUGAGGCUCGAAGGCGUGGGGAGCAAACAGGAUUAGAUACCCUGGUA